CGGGUGAGUAACGCGUGAGGAACCUGCCUCAAAGAGGGGGACAACAGUUGGAAACGACUGCUAAUACCGCAUAAGCCCACAGCUCGGCAUCGAGCAGAGGGAAAAGGAGCAAUCCGCUUUGAGAUAGCCUCGCGUCCGAUUAGCUAGUUGGUGAGGUAACGGCCCACCAAGGCGACGAUCGGUAGCCGGACUGAGAGGUUGAACGGCCACAUUGGGACUGAGACACGGCCCAG
rnacentral:rRNA from 1 species